rnacentral:lncRNA from 1 species
UGUGUGCAAUUUGAAGCUCUGAUACUUGUAGAAGUAUAAAUGCUACAAACUUAUAAAACAUCACCUGAGAGUCCACUUGAAUUUCUUCUAAAUUCAUUCAGUUUUGUAAAUUUUAAACAUUAAGCUCUUAAUUUUACUUUUUUGUUUCAGCCCAUUGUUUGCCAUCUUCAAGAGGGGUUGAAACAAAAAAUUAAAAUUAAAAGCUUAACAUCUAAGAUUUAUAAAAUUAAAUGAGUUUAGAAGAAAUUCAAGUAAACUUUCAAGUGAUGCUUUGUGUCUGUAGCAUUUAUACUUCUGCGGCAGUGUCCUGGAGUGUCCACAUACACUGUAUUAAAGCUUAAAAUUGCACCAAGACUUUUGGGACACCUAUUUCACUAUCUGCUUAUUCCUGGACUAACAGGUCGGCUGGAAUUAUGAAAAUAUCCUUUAAUACAAGUAUUUAACAAAGAGGAAAAUCGUCAGAAAAUGAGAAGCACCAUUAGAGUUAACAAGAAACACAGCACGGACCCAAUAGAAGUAGGUAACAACAUACUUUCUCUGCUUAUGAUCCCAAACAUGCUAAUAUGCUAAUAAGUAGUGUUUGCAAAAAAUUUGAAUGACAAGUGUUAUUCAGCAGCUUUUUGGUUUGAACUGAUUGCCAAAAAUGACUAGCAGCUUCAAUGAAAUAGUAG